CUCUUACCCUGUCACCUAGCGUCUUGUGGCCAGGUCAGCACAUGGCACAUGAUGGGCAUACAGUGGUCGUUUACUGAGUGAAGAAAGUGAGCCGUCAGGCGGGUGGGCCUGGUUUGGAGUUUCUGCAUCCGGAUUGAGGUCCUACUUUGGCUGGUACUCAUAGUUACCUUUUGCCAUCAAAGCAGCACAGGUAAUUCCUGACAUUUCUAGGAAUUCUUUGAAUUAUGACCUAAUGAACAUUCCAUGAGGUGACUUCAUUGCUGCAAUUUAAAAAGUUCUGGAAAGAGGGCCAUGACCGCAAUUACAUCUGACCCCACUAGGUGCCGCUGCUGUCGCUGCUCAUGGAAGAUGUUUGGCCCGGAGGUGGGGUCCCUGCCUUCUGUCCUGGAGAAGGAGAUGGACUCCUGCUGCAGAGACUGGACGAGUUUCCUUCUGAAGCUCCUGAUGCUUCACGGAGCUGGGUUUUUGAGCUGCUUGAGCAAGAAGGGAGAUAGGACGUGCAUUCCUGCUGGGUCCUCAGCUCUGGACGUGUGAGCUGUGGCCCCAACUCCCCUGAGUCUGACUGACUUAAGAGCGAAGCGGGAAGACCGAGCAGAGUGUGACAGUCCCUUUAACAAAGGUCCCAUGGGGGACCAGCUCUCCUGGCGGACGGCUCAUCACCAAAGGCUCAGUGUGUGUGAACGCACGGCAAUUUCGGGAUGCCGGGCUGUGCGGGCCAUUCUUUCCUUUUCUCCCUCAUGUGUAUUUUCUGCACAGACAUGUACUUGUAGUAAAAUAAGAGAAAAAAAGGUAUUUGAAAAAUAGAAGUAAACAAAUUAUAGCUUUUAUUUUUGUGGAAACUCAAUAAGAAACAUUAUAUAGGCAUUUAGAAAAAGACUUCAGAGGCAAAACUUUUGAGGGGCAUGUUUUUAUUAUAAAUGUAAUAUGUUUGAUUAAUGAAAAAUCACAAUGAAGUACCGAGAAAAUGUUUGUCAAUAUAAAAGUUUUAGCAGCAUUUCCAUAGUUUCAGGCUCUAGCAUUAGUCACGCUUCCUCCCGCUAUCGAAAAAGAAGACGCCAGUGGGGCUCCAGCAGAACAUCGUGCUGCUCCACUUAGUGAAGGCCUCAAGGAAGUCAAGUCCAGUGUAUUGUCUAACAGCUCAGCCCUCCCCACUCCUGAGCUUCCAGAAUGUCAGAGCACUUGCCUCCGUGUCUGAGGUUAGAGGUCCAUCCUUCAGGCUGCAGGGGAGGAGGGGGUGGAAAUUCAAACUGGACUUGAUAUGUAGUGCUCGGUCACACGUCCUCGCCGCUGUACCUUCUCUACACUGACAACAACGAAGGGCCAAGAUCUGGCACGGGGCAGCAGUGGCAGCGUGGUGGCGGGGAGGGGGACCGGAAGUGGGACGUGCACACACGCGGGGGGCUGGUGCCUCACCAUACACCCUGCUCCAGGGCAGCUCAGAGCAUGGUGGUCCUGCCGCAUCCCAGGCUAAUGGUAGGAUUAGUGAGAAGGGGAGACAAACAGUAUGAAAAUAUAAUACUGGCAAACUAUUCCCCUGCUUCUUUGGUACUUUCCAAACUUCUCUGAUCAAAAAAGGAUAAGGGAAGCACACCAUUAAAAAAUUACAGUUUUAAGUAUUUACAGAAGCAAUUAUGAUAUAUUACAUAAUCAAUACACAGUAUAUGAACAAAUUCUUCAGUGAAAGCACUUGUGAACUCCUGUUCCAGUAUUCAGUAGCACACUGACACACAUACACCUUCCCAAAUGGGUAUCAUCCAUCCUGUAUCUCAC